AUUGCCUCAGUAACGGCGAGUGAAGCGGCAAGAGCUCAAAUUUGAAAGCUGGCCCCUUCGGGGUCCGCGUUGUAAUUUGCAGAGGAUGCUUCGGGUGCGGCCCCUGUCUAAGUGCCCUGGAACGGGCCGUCAGAGAGGGUGAGAAUCCCGUCUUGGGCAGGGUGCCCGUGCCCGUGUGAAGCUCCUUCGACGAGUCGAGUUGUUUGGGAAUGCAGCUCUAAAUGGGUGGUAAAUUUCAUCUAAAGCUAAAUACCGGCCGGAGACCGAUAGCGCACAAGUAGAGUGAUCGAAAGAUGAAAAGCACUUUGAAAAGAGAGUUAAACAGCACGUGAAAUUGUUGAAAGGGAAGCGCUUGCGACCAGACUCGGCCCCGGGGUUCAGCCAGCAUUCGUGCUGGUGUACUUCCCCGGGGGCGGGCCAGCGUCGGUUUGGGCGGCCGGUCAAAGGCCCCAGGAAUGUAUCGCCCUCCGGGGUUGUCUUAUAGCCUGGGGUGCAAUGCGGCCAGCCCGGACCGAGGAACGCGCUUCGGCACGGACGCUGGCG
rnacentral:rRNA from 1 species